rnacentral:rRNA from 1 species
AGUGAACGCUGGCGGUAGGCCUAACACAUGCAAGUCGAACGGCAGCACAGUAAGAGCUUGCUCUUACGGGUGGCGAGUGGCGGACGGGCGAGGAAUACAUCGGAAUCUACUUUUUCGUGGGGGAUAACGUAGGGAAACUUACGCUAAUACCGCAUACGGCCUACGGGUGAAAGCAGGGGAUCUUCGGACCUUGCGCGAUUGAAUGAGCCGAUGUCGGAUUAGCUAGUUGGCGGGGUAAAGGCCCACCAAGGCGACGAUCCGUAGCUGGUCUGAGAGGAUGACCGGCCACACGGGAACUUAUACACGGUCCAGACUCCUACGGGAGCCAGCAGCAGGGAAGGUUGCGCAAGGGGCGAAAGCCUGACGGAGCAACGCCGCGUGAGUGAAGAAGGUCUUCGGAUCGUAAAACUCUGUUAUUAGGAAAGAAAAAAUGUGUAAGUAACUAUGCACGUCGUGACGGUACCUAAUCAGAAAGCCACGGCUAACUACGUG